rnacentral:rRNA from 1 species
GCAUAUCAAUAAGCGGAGGAAAAGAAACCAACAGGGAUUGCCCCAGUAACGGCGAGUGAAGCGGCAAGAGCUCAAAUUUGAAAGCUGGCUCCUUCGGGGUCCGCAUUGUAAUUUGUAGAGGAUGCUUCGGGAGCGGUCCCCAUCUAAGUGCCCUGGAACGGGACGUCAUAGAGGGUGAGAAUCCCGUAUGGGAUGGGGUGUCCGCGCCCGUGUGAAGCUCCUUCSACGAGUCGAGUUGUUUGGGAAUGCAGCUCUAAAUGGGUGGUAAAUUUCAUCUAAAGCUAAAUAUUGGCCGGAGACCGAUAGCGCACAAGUAGAGUGAUCGAAAGAUGAAAAGCACUUUGAAAAGAGAGUUAAAAAGCACGUGAAAUUGUUGAAAGGGAAGCGCUUGCGACCAGACUCGCUCGCGGGGUUCAGCCGGCAUUCGUGCCGGUGUAUUUCCCCGCGGGCGGGCCAGCGUCGGUUUGGGCGGUCGGUCAAAGGCCCUCGGAAGGUAACGCCCCUCGGGGCGUCUUAUAGCCGAGGGUGCAAUGCGACCUGCCCGGACCGAGGAACGCCGCUUCGGCYCGGACGCUGGCAUAAUGGUCSUAAGCGACCCGUCUUGAAACACRGAACAMAUUUAAACGACCCGUCUUGAAACACGGACC